GACGAACGCUGGCGGCGUGCUUAACACAUGCAAGUCGAGCGGUAAGGCCCUUUCGGGGGUACACGAGCGGCGAACGGGUGAGUAACACGUGGGUGACCUGCCCUCAGCUCUGGGAUAAGCCUGGGAAACCGGGUCUAAUACCGGAUAUGACUCCACGGCGCAUGUUGUGGGGUGGAAAGCCUUGUGUGGCUAGAGAUGGGCCCGCGGCCUAUCAGCUUGUUGGUGGGGUGANGGCCUACCAAGGCGACGACGGGUAGCCGGCCUGAGAGGGCGACCGGCCACACUGGGACUGAGACACGGCCCAGACUCCUACGGGAGGCAGCAGUGGGGAAUCUUGCGCAAUGGGCGAAAGCCUGACGCAGCGACGCCGCGUGAGGGAUGACGGCCUGGUGUAAC
rnacentral:rRNA from 1 species